GUGCUUGCUUCAGCAGCACAUACACUAAAAUUGGAAUAAGAUUAGUGUUGCCCUUGUGCAAGCAUGGCACACAAAUUUGUGAAGUGUUCCUUUUUUUU
ensembl:snRNA U6 U6 spliceosomal RNA